UUGAUGGGCAGAGCAUCUCCAUGUGUGCUCUCAUCUCUUCUAGCCCCCAUCAUCCAUCGGUGGGGAGGCCUUGAGGACUUCAACUUACAUUAAGGAGUUGGAGGAUGAACCAAAGAAAGCCAAACAUGCCCUCCCUAACCCAUCACAGGAUUCCCAGCUGCCAUGCCAGCGGCAUCCAACCAGGGCACACCUGAAGCAUUCCCUUUCUUCCACCAUCAAACUUUCCCACUCCUUCGCCUGCCUUUGAAUCUGCGGCAACACACAAGCGAUGGUGGCUGACUCCCUUGCUGUAGCCACCUCUGAAUAAACAGCCUCUGCCUGUUCUCA